rnacentral:rRNA from 1 species
UACGUAGGGGGCAAGCGUUGUCCGGAUUUACUGGGUGUAAAGGGCGCGUAGGCGGGCCUGUUAGUCGAUGGUGAAAUCCUACAGCUUAACUGUAGAACUGCCGUCGAUACUGCAGGUCUUGAGUUCGGAAGAGAGAAGCGGAAUUCCAGGUGUAGUAGUGAAAUACGUAGAUAUCUGGAAGAACACCAGUGGCGAAGGCGGCUUCUUGGUCCGUAUCUGACGCUGAGGCGCGAAGGCGUGGGGAG